rnacentral:rRNA from 1 species
GGUGCGAGCGUUGUCCGGAAUUACUGGGCGUAAAGAGCUCGUAGGUGGUUUGUCGCGUUGUUCGUGAAAUCUCACGGCUUAACUGUGAGCGUGCGGGCGAUACGGGCAGACUUGAGUACUGCAGGGGAGACUGGAAUUCCUGGUGUAGCGGUGGAAUGCGCAGAUAUCAGGAGGAACACCGGUGGCGAAGGCGGGUCUCUGGGCAGUAACUGACGCUGAGGAGCGAAAGCGUGGGGAGCGAACAGGAUUAGAUACCCUGGUAGUCCACGCCGUAAACGGUGGGUACUAGGUGUGGGUUUCCUUCCUUGGGAUCCGUGCCGUAGCUAACGCAUUAAGUACCCCGCCUGGGGAGUACGGCCGCAAGGCUAAAACUCAAAGAAAUUGACGGGGGCCCGCACAAGCGGCGGAGCAUGUGGAUUAAUUCGAUGCAACGCGAAGAACCUUACCUGGGUUUGACAUGCACAGGACGCCGGCAGAGAUGUCGGUUCCCUUGUGGCCUGUGUGCAGGUGGUGCAUGGCUGUCGUCAGCUCGUGUCGUGAGAUGUUGGGUUAAGUCCCGCAACGAGCGCAACCCUUGUCUCAUGUUGCCAGCGGGUAAUGCCGGGGACUCGUGAGAGACUGCCGGGGUCAACUCGGAGGAAGGUGGGGAUGAUGUCAAGUCAUCAUGCCCCUUAUGUCCAGGGCUUCACACAUGCUACAAUGGCCGGUACAAAGGGCUGCGAUGCCGCGAGGUUAAGCGAAUCCUUUUAAAGCCGGUCUCAGUUCGGAUCGGGGUCUGCAACUCGACCCCGUGAAGUCGGAGUCGC